rnacentral:rRNA from 1 species
UUGGGCUUACGGGAGGCAGCAGUAGGGAAUCUUCCGCAAUGGGCGAAAGCCUGAUGGAGCAACGCCGCGUGGGUGAAGAAGGUCUUCGGAUCGUAAAACCCUGUUGUUAGAGAAGAAAGUGCGUGAGAGUAACUGUUCACGUUUCGACGGUAUCUAACCAGAAAGCCACGGCUAACUACGUGCCAGCAGCCGCGGUAAUACGUAGGUGGCAAGCGUUAUCAGGAUUUAUUGGGCGUAAAGGGAACGCAGGCGGUCUUUUAAGUCUGAUGUGAAAGCCUUCGGCUUAAAC